rnacentral:lncRNA from 1 species
GUUUUCCCCUAUCCUGAGAGGCAUGAGGCCUGGCUCCAUACAUAGAAGAUAGGCCUGCUUCCUGUGUGGAAGUGCCUGCCUGUCCACUGUCCCCCCCCCCCAGUGUGAACCAAAAAAGUGAACCACAAACCAUUCAUUUUUUGAGGGGGAAGUUUGUGGAAGUUUGUGGUUUGUGUGCUACAAACCUCAAACCAUCACGAACCACUGCUUUUCUGGUUUGUGCCCAUCUAUACUCUGUCAUCCAUGGAGAGGUUUCCAUGCCUCUAAUGGUGGAACUGAAAGAGAGGGUGCAGAUGCAAGGAGAGGAAACAACUAUUCCACCAAUAGUAACCAUCCAGCUGAAACAGAAGGAGACUCCCCCCCCCGCAUGAUUGGUAUCAGGAGCCUUCACAAUUGGAAAGUUCACAUGAACAUAAAACAAGGACAGUGAAAUGUAUGCAUCACAGCAUAUGAGAUCAGAUAAACAUGUUUAUGAAGCAUGUAUUGCAGGACAGCUCUGAAGGAAUAUCCAGGAAUGUUUGCUUUUGAGAAACACACAAUUGGGCAGGUUCAAAUUUUCAGAUUUCUGUUCCCUAAGCAAACUUCUGACCUCUACACCAUUUGCUGUGGAUGUUCACAAGAUGUGAGAGAAGAAACAGUAAGGUUUCUCUCUGUAUAUCACAGUAGCUGUUGCACCGGCAUGUGUGCAGUGAGACCCACAAAAACACAGGUGAUUUUAAGAAACAGCAAAUUUUUAUUAAGAAAGUUAUGUUUUAGAUAGAAAAGCCUAUAAUCCUAACUAGAUGAAAAUGUGCCCUGGGGACACGUGAGAGAUGAGUACAACUUAUCUACCCAUUUGGAAAAG